rnacentral:piRNA from 1 species
UGAUAAGCAUUUCUGUACUUGGAGCUUCU